GGGAGGAGAAAGGGAGGAGAGAGUGUGGAGAGGAAGGAGAGAGGGAGGAGAGAGUAGAGAGGAAGGAGAGAGAGAGGGAGGAGAGGAAGGAGAGAGUGUGGAGAGGAGGGAGAGAGAGGGAGGAGAGGAAGGAGAGAGUGUGGAGAGGAGGGAGAAGUGUUGUUCAUACACCAGUAUGUCUCAGGAGGCAGGCCUGAGGAGUGCUUUAAGGAUUCUGUCAACAGGUCUUCUAGUACUGCCCUCUGCUCAGACUGUCAGUCUUCCUGCCAGUACUGUCCCCUGCUCAGACUGUCAGUCUCCCUGCCAGUACUGUCCCCUGCUCAGACUGUCAGUCUGCCUGCCAGUACUGUCCCCUGCUCAGACCAUCAGUCUGCCUGCCAGUACUGUCCCCUGCUCAGACCAUCAGUCUCCCUGCCAGUACUGUCCCCUGCUCAGACCAUCAGUCUCCCUGCCAGUACUGUCCCCUGCUCAGACCAUCAGUCUCCCUGCCAGUACUGUCCCCUGCUCAGACCGUCAGUCUCCCUGCCAGUACUGUCCCCUGCUCAGACCAUCAGUCUGCCUGCCAGUACUGUCCCCUGCUCAGACCGUCAGUCUCCCUGCCAGUACUGCCCCCUGCUCAGACCGUCAGUCUGCCUGCCAGUACUGUCCCCUGCUCAGACCGUCAGUCUCCCUGCCAGUACUGUCCCCUGCUCAGACCGUCAGUCUGCCUGCCAGUACUGUCCCCUGCUCAGACCGUCAGUCUGCCUGCCAGUACUGUCCCCUGCUCAGACCAUCAGUCUCCCUGCCAGUACUGUCCCCUGCUCAGACCAUCAGUCUGCCUGCCAGUACUGUCCCCUGCUCAGACCAUCAGUCUGCCAGUACUGUCCCCUGCUCAGACCAUCAGUCUCCCUGCCAGUACUGUCCCCUGCUCAGACCAUCAGUCUGCCUGCCAGUACUGUCCCCUGCUCAGACCAUCAGUCUGCCAGUACUGUCCCCUGCUCAGACCAUCAGUCUCCCUGCCAGUACUGUCCCCUGCUCAGACCAUCAGUCUGCCAGUACUGUCCCCUGCUCAGACCAUCAGUCUCCCUGCCAGUACUGUCCCCUGCUCAGACCAUCAGUCUCCCUACCAGCACUGCCCUCUGCUCAGACUGUCAGUCUGCCUGCCAGUACUGCACCCUGCUCAGACCGUCAGUCUGCCGGGCCAGUGUACCAACCUCAAAUGGACGGAGUGUGUAGAGACUG
rnacentral:lncRNA from 1 species